rnacentral:misc_RNA from 1 species
GAUGAAGAACGCAGCGAAAUGCGAUAAGUAAUGUGAAUUGCAGAAUUCAGUGAAUCAUCGAAUCUUUGAACGCACAUUGCGCCCGCCAGCAUUCUGGCGGGCAUGCCUGUUCGAGCGUCAUUUCAACCCUUAAGCUCUGCUUGGUGUUGGGGCCCUACGGUUGACGUAGGCCCUUAAAGGUAGUGGCGGACCCUCUCGGAGCCUCCUUUGCGUAGUAACUAACGUCUCGCAUUGGGAUUCGGAGGGACUCUUGCCGUAAAACCCCCAAAUUUUCUAAUGGUUGACCUCGGAUCAGGUAGGAAUACCCGCUGAACUUAAGCAUAUCAAUAAGCGGAGGA